rnacentral:lncRNA from 1 species
UGUAUGAGGUAUUGUUUCCCCAGUCACCCUUAUACUCUGUUCCCCCUCGUUUUUUUGGGAGCACUUGUUUCGUUCAUAACUUAGCCCCUGAGAAAUAUAAGUUAGCUCCUCGUGCUCUCAAGUAUGUCUCCCUUGGUUAUUCUCGUGUCCGAAGGGCUAUCGUUGUUAUUCACCUGAUCUUCGUAGGUACCUUAUGUCAACUGAUGUCACAUUUUUUGAGUCUAAACCUUUCUUAACCUCUUCUGACCAUCUUGAUAUAUCUGAGGUUUUACCUAUAUCGGCCUUUAGAGAUUCUACUAUAGCUCUUCCUACACCUUCUGCUACAUAAGUCUUACCCAUUCCAACCGUUGGAGAGUCUAGUAUGGCUUCUCCUAGACUCCCUGCCACAUAAACUCCACUCUUGACAUAUCAUCUUCUUCCUCGCCAAGCAUCCGGCCCGGUUGAUUCACGUCCUGCACCUGACCCUGCUCCUACUGUGGACUUGUCUCUUCCGAUUGCGCUUCGGAAAGGUAUACAGAUCACCCUUAAUCCUAAUCCCCAUUAUAUAGGUUUAAGUUAUCAUCGUUUUUCAUCACCCUAUUAAGCUUUCUUAUCUUCUUUGUCCUCUGUUUCCAUCCCUCAGUCUACAGGUGAAGCAUUGUCUCAUCCAGGAUGGCGAGAGGCUAUGACUGACGAGAUGCCUGCUUUACAUACGAGUGGUACUUGGGAGCUCGUCCCUCUUCCUUCAGGUAAAUCUACUGUUGGUUGUCGUUGGGUGUAUGCAGUCAAGGUUGC